GUUACUCUAAUUUACUAAGAAUACUUAGCUUGCACCUAAGAAGUGGGAAGCCUCCCGUGUGACC
rnacentral:tRNA from 1 species